CAGUAGCCGCGGUAAAACGAAGGGUGCAAGCGUUAAUCGGAAUUGCUGGGCGUAAAGCGUGCGUAGGCGGUGAGUUAAGUCUGCUGUGAAAUCCCCGGGCUCAACCUGGGAAUGGCAGUGGAUACUGGCUCGCUAGAGUGUGUCAGAGGAUGGUGGAAUUCCCGGUGUAGCGGUGAAAUGCGUAGAGAUCGGGAGGAACAUCAGUGGCGAAGGCGGCCAUCUGGGACAACACUGACGCUGAGGCACGAAAGCGUGGGGAGCAAACAGGAUUAGAUACCCCGGUAGUCCCUGUCUCUUAUAC
rnacentral:rRNA from 1 species